rnacentral:tRNA from 1 species
GGUGGGGUGCGAGAGCGGACGAUUCGGCGCGCCUGGAGAGCGCGUAGGCGGGGAACCGUCUCGUGGGUUCAAAUCCCACCCCCACCGCCA